GCGACACCACAGUGGUGCCGUGUGCAUAGUAUCAUGCAGUGGCCGGCGACAGCACUGUAGUAUCUUUUGCAUUCUGUUGGUGUUUUGUUUAGGGGAGGAAUGUUCUGGCGUACCAACAAGCACCAGCAUGAAGACUAAGAUUGCAAGCACAAAGAAGGAGGUGAGACAUCAGCCAACAGCCCGCUGACCAAGUACCACACCACAACAGGAGCACACUCUAGCCGAAGAGAAUAUAAGCGCCACUUCUGUCAGUCUCAGGGACCGUAUUCACACAGGACUAUGAGAGCACUACAAUAGGAGUGACAAGGGAUCCAUAUGAAUUUCUUACAUGAACCUCGUAUACAGCAAAGGACUUCGAUUGAUUGAAUUUCACCCAUAGCUUGUGACACCGUUGUAAAUUCAAAGUGAAGCAUUGUCAGUCUCAUUAUUUGUAAUAAGAACUAUUAAUGUGAUUUGCUUGAAUUGUUGUACAGCAUUCCAAGAAUGCAGCAUCCUUUAGGCACCCUAUACAAGAUGAGUGGGCAGGAUCCCACAGUUCUGACUGCAUAAUAUAUGUUAACAGUAUCUUAAAAUCCUGGGUGUGAGUAUGAACAUGCAACAUCUAAGUUUAACUGCUCCAUACACCCCACUUACUGGAUAUUAUAAUUAUGUUGUCAACUUUCUGCACAACAAUGAUGAGGACACCAUGCUUAUUACAAUAUUCUGCCACUGUCUGAAGCUUUUACUGUGAUGUUCAACAAAUAGUGUGUCACUGAAUGAAGAUUAGAUUAUUAAAUAUUUGGUAUGUUAACGGAGGGAAAGGUGCGAUUCUCUUUAGCUGUAGGAACAUUGUACUAUGAGACUGGAACUGGCCAUCCAAACUGCUACAAUGCCAAUAAAGUGUGAAAAGUCACUAAAAUUCAAUUAGUGUUUGGAGUUCAUAAUUUAGCACUGUUCUUACUGAAGGCAGUUUUCAGCAUAUUAUUCCACAAAAAUCAAGAUAUGUGACUUCAAGACAUGUAUAUGUGAGUGCAGCUCAGGCAAGGGGAACACCAUACAGUCACACGAUCUAGAUGCAGCAAGAACUUCUGAAACAGCAGGUCGCCAUUUUUUCUGUAGAUGGGAGUAAUGCUGUGAGCUGUGCUGCAUGCAAUGUGGUGUAGCAGUUAGCAAUGCUGGAUGGCAUUCUGUGAUUUGCCAGUUCAGAUCCAAUCACCAGCAAUUAUUUGUUAUUUAGUAUUUAUCACUUCUGUAAUGUGCUCAAAAUUUCUUGUUUGUAAUGUUUGCAUAUUCUGGAAUAUUCAGUGUUUGUAUAAAUAACAGCACUCUGAGUUCAAGAGUUCAGUUCUGUUCAGUCUGUACAAUGGUAUUUGUAAUAAACCUGCUUUCACUA